GUCCAGAUCAUGUUUUCAGGUUCAGAACACAAUUUCAUGCGUCUGAAAGUACAAUAUUCAAAAGUUCUCAUCGCUUGAUGUACAUUUUUACACGUGAUUCUUCAGCAUGUCCUUUCUGCCAUGAACAGGUGAAUAAAGUGCCUAUCUUCUUAAUUUCACACGUUUUGAAAUGAAGCAUUUCUUUACACCUGAUUUUUUUUUUCUCACCUUUUUGUUUUUGCUUUUACAACUGUAGAAAACGCGUGACAAAUGUGAAGGUUUUUUUUUCAAAGUAGGAAAAUGCUAUAGAUGAUUUUCUCUGCCCCAAAAGCCUUUAUAUUUAGAAAAACUAAUGUUUAUAUAGAAGUCCAUUCAUUGAUUCCUUCAAGUAAGCUUAUGAUCGGAAAAACAUCGACAGAGGAGCUCCUUCUCUAACGUUAACAAUCUGCAGGAUGGAGACACUGGGAUGUAUGUCAGAGACCCAUACAGUAGUAACCCCGCCGUAGGCUUGCUUGACAUCUACCAAGAGGUCUGGACCUUUAUGGCUCAGAAAGAACAGGAUAGGUCUAAACAAAGAUACUGGUCAUAUAGCUUUUGUCAAGUGUGUUUAAACUACACUGAUCCAGGGCAAGCAGCCCUGGUCCCACUCCUCUCCCUCAAUCACUACAGUGGCAUUACUUGAACUUCUAUCGCUCCUGUAGCACCAGCAGGUUGGAGAUGUGGACACCACCAUUCCCAUUAUGUACCGCUUCUGUUUUUCAUUUCUUUCUACUUGGAACUGUGGUUCACACAUGUUAUGUUGUCUAAUUCCAGGUGCAUACAGGAAGAAUUUUAUUUUUGUAUACUCCCAUUUUAUUAUAGUGGUCUUUCCACAUGUCAUAAAUAGAGUAGAUGGUUAAAGGGCAUUCCUUUCGUUUGACAUGUGUGCUCAAAGUGUUUAAUCUCUGUCAUUGUGUUUUACAGCAAUCUUCUUCAACGUGGUGACGUGGAACAACCUGAAUUUUUAUUUCUGUUGGUAAGGUAUGGCUUGUGUGAGGUGGUGGGAUUUGUGUGAGUUUAUUUUUUGGUUGUUGAUGAUGAUGAUGAUGACCAGGAGGUGGAUGGCAAAGGGGAGAUCAGAAAAGGUCCUAACCACUAGGUGGUUCUGGAAUCCUGGGAAGGGGGUGCCCUUUAACCAUCUACUCUGUGUUGAUCAAGGUGUUUAUAUGUUGUUUGUUGGGGUGGUUGUGUAGUCUAGAAGGGGGUGCCCGGACGUGUUGAUCAAGGUGUUUAUAUGUUGUUGUUGGGGUGGUUGUGUAGUCUAGAAGGGGGUGCCUGGCCGUGUUGAUCAAGGUGUUUAUAUGUUGUUUGUUGGGGUGGUUGUGUAGUCUAGAAGGGGGUGCCCGGACGUGUUGAUCAAGGUGUUUAUAUGUUGUUGUUUGUUGGGGUGGUUGUGUAGUCUAGAAGGGGGUGCCUGGCCGUGUUGAUCAAGGUGUUUAUAUGUUGUUUGUUGGGGUGGUUGUGUAGUCUAGAAGGGGGUGCCCGGACGUGUUGAUCAAGGUGUUUAUAUGUUGUUGUUGUUGGGGUGGUUGUGUAGUCUAGAAGGGGGUGCCCGGCUGUGUUGAUGAAGGUGUUUAUAUGUUGUUUUUUGGGGUGGUUGUGUAGUCUAGAAGGGGGUGCCCGGCCGUGUUGAUCAAGGUGUUUAUAUGUUGUUUGUUGGGGUGGUUGUGUAGUCUAGAAGGGGGUGCCCGGCUGUGUUGAUGAAGGUGUUUAUAUGUUGUUUUUUGGGGUGGUUGUGUAGUCUAGAAGGGGGUGCCCGGCCGUGUUGAUCAAGGUGUUUAUAUGUUGUUUGUUGGGGUGGUUGUGUAGUCUAGAAGGGGUGCCUGGCCGUGUUGAUCAAGGUGUUUAUAUGUUGUUGUUUGUUGGGGUGGUUGUGUAGUCUAGAAGGGGGUGCCCGGCUGUGUUGAUCAAGGUGUUUAUAUGUUGUUUGUUGGGGUGGUUGUGUAGUCUAGAAGGGGGUGCCUGGCCGUGUUGAUCAAGGUGUUUAUAUGUUGUUUGUUGGGGUGGUUGUGUAGUCUAGAAGGGGGUGCCUGGCCGUGUUGAUGAAGGUGUUUAUAUGUUGUUUGUUGGGGUGGUUGUGUAGUCUAGAAGGGGGUGCCCGGACGUGUUGAUCAAGGUGUUUAUAUGUUGUUUGUUGGGGUGGUUGUGUAGUCUAGAAGGGGGUGCCUGGCCGUGUUGAUCAAGGUGUUUAUAUGUUGUUUGUUGGGGUGGUUGUGUAGUCUAGAAGGGGGUGCCCGGCCGUGUUGAUCAAGGUGUUUAUAUGUUGUUUGUUGGGGUGGUUGUGUAGUCUAGAAGGGGGUGCCCGGACGUGUUGAUCAAGGUGUUUAUAUGUUGUUUGUUGGGGUGGUUGUGUAGUCUAGAAGGGGGUGCCCGGACGUGUUGAUCAAGGUGUUUAUAUGUUGUUUGUUGGGGUGGUUGUGUAGUCUAGAAGGGGGUGCCCGGCCGUGAUGUUCAAGGUUUGCCUGUUCACUCAUCCAGAAGGCGAGGUCAGUACAGAUGCAUCUAAGCUGGGACCGAGAGACUGAAAAACAGCUUCUAUCUCAAGGCCGUCAGACUGUUAAACAGCCAUCACUAACAUACAGUGGCUGCUGCCAACAUACUGACUCAACUCAAGCCACUUUAAUAAUGAAAAAUGUAUGUAAUAAAUGUAUCGCUAGCCACUUUAAACAAUGCCACUUUAUAUAAUGUUUACAUAUCCUACAUUACUCAUGUCAUAUGUAUAUACUGUACUCUAUAUCAUCUACUGCAUCUUGCCAUCUUGAUGUAAUAAAUGUAUCACUAGCCACUUUAAUCAAUGCCACUUUAUAUAAUGUUUACAUACCCUACAUUACUCAUCUCAUAUGUAUAUACUGUACUCUAUACCAUCUACUGCAUCUUGCCUAUGCCGUUCGGCCAUCGCUCAUUCAUAUAUUUUUAUGUACAUAUUCUUAUUCAUUCCUAUACACUUGUGUGUAUAAGGUAGUUAUUGUGAAAUUGUUAGAUAUUACUGCAUGGUCAGAACUAGAAGCACAAGCAUUUCCCUACACUCGCAUUAACAUCUGCUAACCAUGUGUAUGUGACAAAUAAAAUAAGAUUUGAGGUGUUAAAAUGUUUUUUGGGUUGUUUUUUUUUGGUGCGGUUGGUGAAUAUUUUACCCAUUGCCACUCAUUUUACCUGUAGGUAGGUAUUACUGUUCAAUUCAAAGUAAUUCAGAGUAAGUGAGUUCCAGUAAUCGUAGUAGAUGAUGGUCUGGUCUGCCUGGUUGUGGGGUAUUGUAGUAGUUGAUGGUCUGCCUGGUUGUGGGGUAUUGUAGUAGUUGAUGGUCUGUCUGGUUGUGGGGUAUUGUAGUAGUUGAUGGUCUGUCUGGUUGUGGGGUAUUGUAGUAGUUGAUGGUCUGUCUGGUUGUGGGGUAUUGUAGUAGUUGAUGGUCUGGUCUGGUUGUGGGGUAUUGUAGUAGUU
rnacentral:lncRNA from 1 species